rnacentral:sRNA from 1 species
CAACCAUGCCCAGUGAGCACCUGCGUGAGC